UACCGUAUUGUCCUCACUUCCACAUUUGCCA
rnacentral:piRNA from 1 species